rnacentral:rRNA from 1 species
CGGAGGGUGCAAGCGUUAUCCGGAUUCACUGGGUUUAAAGGGUGCGUAGGAGGGCAGGUAAGUCAGUGGUGAAAUCUCCAAGCUUAACUUGGAAACUGCCGUUGAUACUAUCUGUCUUGAAUAUUGUGGAGGUGAGCGGAAUAUGUCAUGUAGCGGUGAAAUGCUUAGAUAUGACAUAGAACACCAAUUGCGAAGGCAGCUCGCUACUCAAUUAUUGACUCUGAGGCACGAAAGCGUGGGGAUCAAACAGGAUUAGAUACCCUGGUAGUCCACGCCCUAAACUAUGGAUACUCGACAUACGCGAUAUGCAGUGUGUGUCUGAGCGAAAGCAUUAAGUAUCCCACCUGGGAAGUACGACCGCAAGGUUG